rnacentral:rRNA from 1 species
GUGAACGCUGGCGAUGUGUCUAAGACAUGCAAGUCGAACGAUUUUUAUGGUCUUCACUAAGAGGGUUCUCUUCCUUUUAGUGAAGAUCGUGAGGAUAGUGGCGAACGGGUGAGUAAUGAGUACGAACGUACUCUCAAGCGGAACAUAGUCCGCCGAAAGGCGGAGUAAUUUUCCAUAGUCUCGAAAGAGUAAAGACGCAAGUCACUUGAGAAGCGGCGUACUUGCCACCAGCUAGUUGGUAGGGUAACAGCCUACCAAGGCUAUAACGGCUAACGGCUCUUAGCGGAGAGUCCGUCACAAUGGGACUGAGACACGGCCCAUACUUCUACGGAAGGCAGCAGUUAGGAAUUUUGCGCAAUGGACGAAAGUCUGACGCAGCGACAUCGCGUGAAGGAUGAAGGCCCUCGGGUCGUAAACUUCUUUUCUUUAAUAUAACUUUUAGAGGAAUCAGUGACUACUAACUACGU